AUGACCUUGUCGGCCGGGAACGGCCACUUCUUCUGCGACGAGCCCGUGUCGUGGUUGUCCACGAACGUGACCGCCUUCUCCGGCAACAAGCCGAUCAUCCCGGGAGCGUUGCCCUCCUUGUCACGCAUCCUCCACAGCUCGCCCUGCACCGCCGACUGCAGGAUGCCCUUGGUCGUGAAGUCGAACGCCAUGGCAGGGCCGCCGACCGCCUUCGCCCAGUUCACCAGCUCCUGCCGCUCCCCGUCCUGGUUGACGGCGGGCUUCCCGUCGCCGUCGUAG
rnacentral:rRNA from 1 species